UUUUAUGAGAGUUUGAUCCUGGCUCAGGACGAACGCUGGCGGCGUGCCUAAUACAUGCAAGUCGAACGCUUCUUUUUCCACCGGAGCUUGCUCCACCGGAAAAAGAGGAGUGGCGAACGGGUGAGUAACACGUGGGUAACCUGCCCAUCAGAAGGGGAUAACACUUGGAAACAGGUGCUAAUACCGUAUAACAAUCGAAACCGCAUGGUUUUGAUUUGAAAGGCGCUUUCGGGUGUCGCUGAUGGAUGGACCCGCGGUGCAUUAGCUAGUUGGUGAGGUAAUGGCUCACCAAGGCAACGAUGCAUAGCCGACCUGAGAGGGUGAUCGGCCACAUUGGGACUGAGACACGGCCCAAACUCCUACGGGAGGCAGCAGUAGGGAAUCUUCGGCAAUGGACGAAAGUCUGACCGAGCAACGCCGCGUGAGUGAAGAAGGUUUUCGGAUCGUAAAACUCUGUUGUUAGAGAAGAACAAGGAUGAGAGUAACUGUUCAUCCCUUGACGGUAUCUAACCAGAAAGCCACGGCUAACUACGUGCCAGCAGCCGCGGUAAUACGUAGGUGGCAAGCGUUGUCCGGAUUUAUUGGGCGUAAAGCGAGCGCAGGCGGUUUCUUAAGUCUGAUGUGAAAGCCCCCGGCUCAACCGGGGAGGGUCAUUGGAAACUGGGAGACUUGAGUGCAGAAGAGGAGAGUGGAAUUCCAUGUGUAGCGGUGAAAUGCGUAGAUAUAUGGAGGAACACCAGUGGCGAAGGCGGCUCUCUGGUCUGUAACUGACGCUGAGGCUCGAAAGCGUGGGGAGCAAACAGGAUUAGAUACCCUGGUAGUCCACGCCGUAAACGAUGAGUGCUAAGUGUUGGAGGGUUUCCGCCCUUCAGUGCUGCAGCUAACGCAUUAAGCACUCCGCCUGGGGAGUACGACCGCAAGGUUGAAACUCAAAGGAAUUGACGGGGGCCCGCACAAGCGGUGGAGCAUGUGGUUUAAUUCGAAGCAACGCGAAGAACCUUACCAGGUCUUGACAUCCUUUGACCACUCUAGAGAUAGAGCUUCCCCUUCGGGGGCAAAGUGACAGGUGGUGCAUGGUUGUCGUCAGCUCGUGUCGUGAGAUGUUGGGUUAAGUCCCGCAACGAGCGCAACCCUUAUUGUUAGUUGCCAUCAUUUAGUUGGGCACUCUAGCAAGACUGCCGGUGACAAACCGGAGGAAGGUGGGGAUGACGUCAAAUCAUCAUGCCCCUUAUGACCUGGGCUACACACGUGCUACAAUGGGAAGUACAACGAGUCGCAAAGUCGCGAGGCUAAGCUAAUCUCUUAAAGCUUCUCUCAGUUCGGAUUGUAGGCUGCAACUCGCCUACAUGAAGCCGGAAUCGCUAGUAAUCGCGGAUCAGCACGCCGCGGUGAAUACGUUCCCGGGCCUUGUACACACCGCCCGUCACACCACGAGAGUUUGUAACACCCGAAGUCGGUGAGGUAACCUUUUGGAGCCAGCCGCCUAAGGUGGGAUAGAUGAUUGGGGUGAAGUCGUAACAAGGUAGCCGUAUCGGAAGGUGCGGCUGGAUCACCUCCUUUCUAAGGAA
rnacentral:rRNA from 2 species